rnacentral:piRNA from 1 species
UGGGUCCUUUGUAAGUUCUUUUAACCACUGA